UUUCCUCUUGUUUUAAGGAGGUAGGGCCUGCUCACUGAGAUUUAAAGAGCCGCAGUAUUCUGACUGUGCUAAGGUAGCAUAAUCAUUAGUCUUUUAAUUGGAGACUGGUAUGAAUGGUUUAACGAGAGAUCAGCUUUUUUUGCUAUAAGAGUUGAAUUUAACUUCUUAGUGAAAAGGCUAAGAUGAAUCAAGAAGACGAGAAGACCCUAUAGAGUUUUACAAAUCUAUAUAUUGAUUUUUGAAUAGAUUUUUCCAAAAAUCAAUUCAUAAAUUUGUUUUGUUGGGGCGACAUUAAGAUAUAAAAAACUCUUUAUUUUUAAAAUUUCAGUGGAAAUUUAAAUUGAUCCUUAAAAAAAGAUUAAAAGAAAAAAUUACCUUAGGGAUAACAGCGUAAUCUUCCCUGAAGUCCUCAUCGACAAAAAGGUUUGCGACCUCGAUGUUGGACUAAAAUUUAGGCAGGGUGCAGCAGUUCUGCUUUUAGGUCUGUUCGACCUAUAAUAUUUUACAUGAUCUAG
rnacentral:rRNA from 1 species